GCCAGUGUCCUGCUCGCCAUCCCCGCCAUGCUGUCUCUAGACUUUUUGGAUAAUGUGCCGCAGAUGAACAAGCGACAGCUCUAUUAUCAAGUCCUAAAUUUCGGAAUGAUUGUCUCAUCGGCGCUAAUGAUCUGUAAGGGGUUAAUGGUAAUAACUGGGAGUGAAAGUUCAAUUGUAGUGCUGCUCAGUGGCAGCAUGGAACCCGCAUUUCACAGGGGAGAUCUUUUCUUUCUAACAAAUCGAGUUGAAGAUCCCAUACAAGUGGGAGAAACUGCUGUUUUAAGGAUAGAAGGAAGAAGGAUUCUUACAGUUCACCGAGUCUUGAAGAUUCAUGAAAAACAAAAUGGGCAUAUCAAGUUUUUGACCAAAGGAGAUAAUAAUGCGGUUGAUGACCCAGGCCUCUAUAAAUAAGAACAACAUUCGCUAGAGAAAAAAGAUGUCGUGGGGAGAGCCAGGGGAUUUUUCCUUGUACUGGAAUUGGGACCAUCUUCAUGAAUGACUAUCCUAAAUUUAAGUAUGAAGUGCUCUUUUUGCUGGGUUUAUUUGUGCUGGUCCAUCAUGAGUAAGAAGUCUGCCUUGCUGUUCCUGGGAAGAUGCCACACUUUUCCUUACUGGA